UACGUAGGGGCCUAGCGUUGUCCGGAUUUAUUGGGCGUAAAGCGCUCGCAGGCGGUCCGAUGCGUCGUGCGUGAAAGACCCCGGCUCAACUGGGGAGGGUCGUGCGAUACGGUCGGACUCGAGGCCAGUAGGGGGACGCGGAAUUCCGGGUGUAGUGGUGGAAUGCGUAGAGAUCCGGAGGAACACCAGCGGCGAAGGCGGCGUCCUGGACUGGUACUGACGCUCAGGAGCGAAAGCGUGGGGAGCGAUCCGG
rnacentral:rRNA from 1 species